AUCUAACCCCGAUAGAAGCGGUAUCUUUUUUGUAGUUUUUUUUUUAAACUACAAAAAAAUAAAGCGAAUAGCGGGAAUAGGG
rnacentral:sRNA from 1 species